CCUACGGGAGGCAGCAGUGGGGAAUAUUGGGCAAUGGGCGCAAGCCUGACCCAGCCACGCCGCGUGAAGGAAGAAGGCUUUCGGGUUGUAAACUUCUUUUUUCAGGGACGAAGCAAGUGACGGUACCUGAGGUAUAAGCCACGGCUAACUACGUGCCAGCAGCCGCGGUAAUACGUCGGUGGCAAGCGUUAUCCGGAUUUACUGGGUGUAAGGGGCGUGUAGGCGGGAAAGCAAGUCAGAUGUGAAAACCAUGGGCUCAAACUGUGGCCUGCAUUUGAAACUGGUUGUCUUGAGUACUGGGGAGGCAGACGGAAUUCCUAGUGUAGCGGUGAAAUGCGUAGAUAUUAGGAGGAACACCAGUGGCGAAGGCGGUCUGCUGGACAGCAACUGACGCUGAGGCGCGAAAGCGUGGGGAGCAAACAGGAUUAGAUACCCGGGUAGUC
rnacentral:rRNA from 1 species